rnacentral:rRNA from 1 species
AUUGAACGCUGGCGGCAGGCCUAACACAUGCAAGUCGAGCGAGCGGCGGACGGGUGCGUAAUGUCUGGGAAUCUGCCUGAUGGAGGGGGAUAACUACUGGAAACGGUAGCUAAUACUGCAUACCAUCAGAUGUGCCCAGAUGGGAUUAGCUGGUAGGUGGGGUAACGGCUCACCUAGGCGACGAUCCCUAGCUGGUCUGAGAGGUUGACCAGCAACACUGGGACUGAGACACGGACCAGACUCCUACGUGAGGCAGCAGUGGGGAAUAUUGCACAAGGGGCGCAAGCCUGAUGGAGCCAUGCCGCGUGUGUGAAGAAGGCCUUCGGGUUGUAAAGCACUUUCAGCGGGGAGGCGUUACCCACAGAAGAAGCACCGGCUAACUCCGUGCCAGCAGCCGCGGUAAUUC